rnacentral:rRNA from 1 species
GCCCUACGGGGCGCAGCAGUGGGGAAUCUUCCGCAAUGGGCGCAAGCCUGACGGAGCAAUGCCGCGUGAACGAAGAAGGUCUUCGGAUUGUAAAGUUCUGUCCUUAUCGAAGAGAGGGUAUAGAGUGAAAAAUGAUAUACUAGGACGGUAGAUGAGGAGGAAGCCCCGGCUAACUACGUGCCAGCAGCCGCGGUAAUACGUAGGGGGCGAGCGUUGUCCGGAAUCACUGGGCGUAAAGGGCGCGUAGGCGGUAUUUUAAGUUAGUGGUAAAACGUCGGGGCUUCACCUUGAUUGGCCAUUAAAAC